rnacentral:sRNA from 1 species
UCUUCACUAGAAUCUUUGCUGUUUGGAACGCUACCUGAGGCCACGUGGGACAGAUUCGAGACAGGCUUUCUAACGGCCACGCACUUUCCUUCGUUCCACUCUGCCUUGUUUUCUGUUGAGAGGACUUAAGGGAACCGAGGCACAAUGAUUCCUCAGGGGGGAAUGUGGGAGGAUAGGUAAACAGUGCAUGUGAGCUGCCAAGAGCUGCCCAGGACCAAGAAAGGAGCAUUCUCUCCAGCUCAGUCACGGGGCAAAUAUUUACCGAGCUGGGACUCUGCACAGCCCAGUACGCAGCUGGGAAUGACUUUCAAGGACCUAGAGUUAGGACUCCCGAGGCUUUCGGCUUUUCGUCUGGUUGAGCGGGCAUGGAUGAGAAACAGAUCUCAGAGGCAGGCGGCCCGAGUUGGUGCAACUCCCUCGGCAACACAUAAAUAGCUGUGGCCUUUGUGUAGCUUCUCUGAGAUUCGAUUUCCUCAUCUACAGUGAAGGAUAAUAAUGUUUAUCUUGGAGUGUUACUAGGAGAAUGAGAGAGUUAGUGCACGUGGCUUGAUACCAAGUCGCCCUCUCUCCACCAUCCUGACCUCACGGUCCCAGACCUUAUACGGAUAGGACAUUUGUCAUCCGUCCAGGACUCUCCUUUCUCCAGGUAGUCCUAUUUCCACAUCAUUGUUGUGAGGCCUAAGAGAGCAGGGGCUAUAGCCUGCCAACUUGACAGCUCCGUAUUUCCCUGCGGGGACCAGUGGCAUCUCCCUCGGACUCCUCCACCAUUCUGAAAUGGAAGAGAUACGUGGCUCCUUCACUCUUUCCGGAGCUCCUCUCCGUUGUGUUCUCUGCUGCAUUCCGGCUUGCAGCCAGGAAAAGCCCACAGUUCUCUCCUUGGUGUUUCUUAUGCCUCCACACUCCUGAACCAUAUGGAGGGAAGAAAUCAUGGCUAUGAUAACAUCAUGCUUCAGUAGCCCCAGCCGCCAUCCACAGUCUCUUAUGAGGAAGGGGACAGGCCAUCCGCUGGAGUUUCCAGUUACUCUGCAACAUCUACUUGAGACUGGUUGCCUGCAAAUCCAGAGUCGCAGCACUGCACUGACAGAUUAACAGCCUGGCUUGGGGGUGAGCUUAAAAUAGAAUCCUCGAUGAUCUAAAUCAAGGAUCCUUAAGCAAAAGUUCAAGACAGGAGGCUUCUGGGGAGACUGUGGAGCCCUGAAUUGUAGGUGAAUAGUCCUGGUCCUCAAUUCGAAGGC